rnacentral:rRNA from 1 species
UACGAAGGUCCCAAGCGUUAUCCGGAUUUAUUGGGUUUAAAGGGUGCGUAGGCGGGCUAUUAAGUCAGUGGUGAAAGCCCCCGGCCUAACCGGGGAACUGCCAUUGAUACUGAUGGUCUUGAGUACAGACGAGGUAGGCGGAAUUUAUGGUGUAGCGGUGAAAUGCAUAGAUACCAUAAAGAACACCGAUUGCGAAGGCAGCUUACUUGGCUGUAACUGACGCUGAGGCACGAAAGCGUGGGGAGCAAACAGG